AGAAUCAACGCUGGCGGCGUGCCUAACACAUGCAAGUCGAACGAGAAAGUGGAGCAAUCCAUUAGUAAAGUGGCGCACGGGUGAGUAACACGUGACUAACCUACCCUUGAGUGGGGGAUAACCUAGGGAAACCUGGGCUAAUACCGCAUAAUACCUUCGGGUCAAAGGAGCAAUUCGCUUAAGGAGGGGGUCGCGGCCGAUUAGUUAGUUGGCGGGGUAAUGGCCCACCAAGACUAUGAUCGGUAU
rnacentral:rRNA from 1 species